rnacentral:rRNA from 1 species
AGGACGAACGCUGGCGGCGUGCUUAACACAUGCAAGUCGAGCGGUAAGGCCUUUCGGGGUACACGAGCGGCGAACGGGUGAGUAACACGUGGGUGAUCUGCCCUGCACUCUGGGAUAAGCCUGGGAAACUGGGUCUAAUACCGGAUAUGACCUGCUCUCGCAUGGGGGUGGGUGGAAAGAUUUAUCGGUGCAGGAUGGGCCCGCGGCCUAUCAGCUUGUUGGUGGGGUAAUGGCCUACAAGGCGACGACGGGUAGCCGACCUGAGAGGGUGACCGG